rnacentral:lncRNA from 1 species
GUUACCUCACUAACACAAAAAUCCACAUAGUAUUUUGUUCUCAGCUGUAGAUUCCCUCAUCUUGCUUGAUACGCGAUACGCUUCAAUGCGUUGUUGAAGUGUGUAUCGUUCCAUUUUUAUUAAUGGAGUAGGUAGUACCUGUCAGAUGUAAACAAAUUAGAGCUUCAAAAGUGACAUCUACCGAAAUAGUGGGCUAUUCAAAAUUACACCUCUUAUUGGAAAACCCUAUAAAUAUUAUAUAAUAUUUAGAAAUAUAUUCUAAUGAGUUUAACAUUUUAUAAUCAAUAUUGAUUAUUGAUCUAAAAACUCAACUAAAAACUGUUCAUUGAAUAUACAGGGUCGUUCAGGGAAAUAUGGAACAUCUUUAAUUUUAUCUAGAACAAUAAGGAAACCGUUGAACUUGGUUAUUUCAACUUUAAAGUGAGAGAUUGAGCCUUAGCUUUAAGUUAGUUGCAAAACUUUCAAUUCAAAAGAAGUAUUUACGAUGUAGGAGACCCAAAGGAACAUGAUCAUCGAAUUUGCAUGUGCGGGAUACAGCUCAGCGUACAUCAAGAAAAGGAAAACCCACUUCCAGAUUCCUCCGCCAAGUAAUCCAUGCAACAGUCUCCAGGGCCAUAAACACUGACCUGGGGAUGAAGUCACACCACCUCUACGAAAGACAUAUCCUUAUAGAGAAAUUGAAGGCCACCUGUGCUACCCACAAACGAAAAUUACUGAACGAUUUGAAGUCCCAUGGUAACCGAAUCAGCUUUUAUUCGGAUGAUAAAUAAUGGACUGUCGAGAGAUCCCACAACAUUCAGAACGACAGAUGGUUGUCCACAGAGAGAGCUAGUGUCCCUCACGUCUUUAAAACCAAGUUUUUGGCCAGCAUCAUGAUCUUUGAGGGCAUUGCGAGCAACGGCAGUGUCAUACCGGUAUCCUCUUUGAGCAAAAGGAGAGGGUGGGUGUCGGCAGGUACUGGGAACUCCUGCCUGACCAAUGGUGUCGAGUUUCUGUUUCAACAAGACUCAGCCCCCUCUCACAAGGCCCGCAAGACACUAAAAAUGUUUAAAGAAGAGAAGGCGUCAUUUUCACACCCCCACACCUGGCCCUCUAACUCCCCCUAUAUGAAUCCUAUGGAUUACUUCUUUUAGGUGGAGUUAGAGAGGAAGGUCUCUGCCAAUUCACACAACAGCAUCGACUCAUUGAAGUCCCUUAUCAAGUACUGGAACAAAGUCUACCCUGCAGACGUGGUCAAGACCUGCAAAUCCUUUAGGCAUCGUAUCGAGCGAAUGAUUUUUUUUUUUUGUAUUAUUAGAAAUUUUAAAUACAAUUUCAAACCUCUACUUGCUUCCCUCAUUGAUCAGGAUGCAAUUAAAGGUAGUCUGGAUUUAAUUGAACGACCUUGUAAAAUUUUUAUACAUAUACUAAGUGUCAAGAAUUGCAAUUAUAACUAUGUUACAUAAUCGAAGACAAAGAAGAACAAUUAAUAACUAAUAAUCAACGAUUACAUCCUUCAAGUAAACUUAUACAUAUGCAUACUAAACGUGAACUGGAUUAAUACAAUUCAUUAAUCAAAGCUGUCUGCUAUUUCUGACUAUAUAAAAUACCCUUACUACUCAGUUAAAAAUUACUUAAUCCUUUAACUAUCCCCUUAAGUAUGUUCAUCAUAAGAAAAGAUUUAUUGAAUUACUUCCAGGGACCGACGCACUUGGUGGAAUUAAACUAAAUUUCAUUAUUAAAUACUAAUACUUAAAGGAGAAUAAUUAUGAAAACAGAUUGAAUCACCAAAGGAACACUUAAUUACUUAAAUCCUUUUUAAUGAAGUUUUUAAAAUUAUAAAUAGUAUUAAAAUUAUUCAUUUUUAAGAUAUCAAGAUUUCCCACAAAUUUCCCCGACGGUAAAAAACAAAGGGAUCCCGGGAGACAAUCACAAAUCUAUACUGCUAAGUUGCAGAUAUGGGGAACGAUCAGAGCCUUACAAUAAUCAUAUAUUUAAUUAAUAGCACGUAUAUUAUUAAUUAUAAAGUAUCUUUCAUUAACUGAGGCCUGAAUACAUUUGUCAAUUGAUAAUUUAAUUAUUAUUUUUAAUAGUACUGUCUAUAGUUAAGCUAUUGUUAGUCAGAUACGUGAAAUAUGUGUACAUAAAAUAAACGAUAGUUACAAUUAA